UACGAAGGGGGCUAGCGUUGCUCGGAAUCACUGGGCGUAAAGGGUGCGUAGGCGGGUCUUUAAGUCAGGGGUGAAAUCCUGGAGCUCAACUCCAGAACUGCCUUUGAUACUGAGGAUCUUGAGUUCGGGAGAGGUGAGUGGAACUGCGAAUGUAGAGGUGAAAUUCGUAGAUAUUCGCAAGAACACCAGUGGCGAAGGCGGCUCACUGGCCCGAUACUGACGCUGAGGCACGAAAGCGUGGGGAGCAGACAGG
rnacentral:rRNA from 1 species